UACGUAGGGUGCAAGCGUUGUCCGGAAUUAUUGGGCGUAAAGAGCUCGUAGGCGGUCUGUCGCGUCGGCUGUGAAAACCCGGGGCUCAACCCCAGCCUGCAGUCGAUACGGGCAGACUAGAGUGCGGUAGGGGAGACUGGAAUUCCUGGUGUAGCGGUGAAAUGCGCAGAUAUCAGGAGGAACACCGGUGGCGAAGGCGGGUCUCUGGGCCGUAACUGACGCUGAGGAGCGAAAGCGUGGGGAGCGAACGGG
rnacentral:rRNA from 1 species